rnacentral:rRNA from 1 species
GACGAACGCUGGCGGCGUGCUUAACACAUGCAAGUCGAACGGAAAGGCCCUGCUUUUGUGGGGUGCUCGAGUGGCGAACGGGUGAGUAACACGUGAGUAACCUGCCCUUGACUUUGGGAUAACUUCAGGAAACUGGGGCUAAUACCGGAUAGGAUCUCCUGCUGCAUGGUGGGGGUUGGAAAGUUUCGGCGGUUGGGGAUGGACUCGCGGCUUAUCAGCUUGUUUGUGGGGUAGUGGCUUACCAAGGCUUUGACGGGUAGCCGGCCUGAGAGGGUGACCGGGCAGAUUGGGAAUGAGAGACGGACCAGAAUCCAACGGGAGGCAGCAGGGGGGAAUAGUGCACAAUGGGCGGAAGCCUGAUGCAGCAACGCCGCGUGCGGGAUGACGGCCUACGGGUUGUAAACCGCUUUCGCCUGUGACGAAGCGUGAGUGACGGUAAUGGGUAAAGAAGCACCGGCUAACUACGUG